UACGAAGGGGGCUAGCGUUGCUCGGAAUCACUGGGCGUAAAGCGCACGUAGGCGGAUUUCUAAGUCAGGGGUGAAAUCCUGGAGCUCAACUCCAGAACUGCCUUUGAUACUGGGAAUCUCGAGUCCGGGAGAGGUGAGUGGAACUGCGAGUGUAGAGGUGAAAUUCGUAGAUAUUCGCAAGAACACCAGUGGCGAAGGCGGCUCACUGGCCCGGUACUGACGCUGAGGUGCGAAAGCGUGGGGAGCAAACGGG
rnacentral:rRNA from 1 species